rnacentral:lncRNA from 1 species
UUGGUUUCUGAUAUUUGUUUAAAAUGAUAUUAGGAAUAUUUUGGUGUUUGGUGGUUUGGUGUUCAAUGAAAAAUCUUAUCAAAAUUUAUCAAACAAAACUAUAUAGAUGAAUGGAAAAUAUAUGAAGAUGAAAUUUUCAUAAUUCUAUACACACCUUACAUGUAUUUCAGUGAAAGAUUGAAUAUGUCAAACAACAUUUUUAAACCAAACUGUGGUUUGGGUCCUGUCUGUGUUGUUAUUUCACCUAAUUAAUAUCAAAAUGUUUUUAUUGCAAUCAAAUCUUCUCAACUUAUGUUUGUCCUCACAGAGCCCUUGGGCAUUUCAAAAGAUAAUCCUUUAAUGACACAUUUAUUAUAUUCCUUUGAAAUCCCUUAAUGAUGUCUUAAUGAUUAAGUGAUCAAUGUAAGAAACAAAAUUAUAUGAUAAUUUAAUUAUUUUUU